rnacentral:rRNA from 1 species
CAUUCGGUACGGGUACGGGAGAAGGGGGAGUGAAAAUAAAAGUAGAGACUCGAGCUAGACGACUACGUAAAGGAGGAGGGAUUAGCGGAGAACCUUGGACCAUCCUCCUCGUACCCGACGUUUAAGCCCACUUCUCCCCUUUCCUCUAAUUGUCAAGACAGUGUUUCUAUUGUGGUAUCUGGUUCGUUCUCCAAAUACACGACGAACGACGUACUGGAACAACGAACGUAAGAGCACAGAAAACCGUUCCUCUUUAAUAGUAAACCUCCCCUUUUCUGUCGACUUUUGUACGUUCUAUCAUAUACGUUUUCUGUAAGGGAAGUCAAUAACUUAGUCUCAAGUCGCCACUUCUUGUGAUGUUAAAAAACCAACUACCUAACUAGACUUAUCUAACAUUCCUUAAAGGUACUUCACCAAUAAGUUUCUUACCUUGGUUAAAAUACCACUCAGAAUGUCUUUACAUCCCUUUCCGACGCAUGAUAUCUGGGUUUCACCAGUCUGGGAAGGGACCUGGGACGCGUUCGCCCUCGAUGUACGUGGUCCGAAAGAUUUUACCUGCACGUAUCUAGACUCUUUCUUCUCUUGUACUUAGAUCGCCUGCCUCCAGUACAUCAUAAGUGAUUAUCUACUAUCUUGGUGUAUAAAACCUUUAAGGAACUGUUUUUUGUGUUCUCGUAGUAACAAACCAGUUAACGUCCAGUUACAACCGUGACCGGUCUAGUUCGUCCGUCACCGCUGUGAUCUGCUCCGCAGGAACGUGACGUUCCGACGGGAGCUGUAUACACUUUUCAAACCGCUCAAUUAAGAAAAGGAGCUUAGUUUGCCUUUAGACUUUUGAUAGUUUCUCUAUGGUUUACUACUUAUAAAGUCUACAGCUGUCCGUACCAACUGAUACUACACGAGUAGCAACUGAGGUGGUGGCAACCAAAACUCCUACCAUGGAGUUCUUACUGGUCUGGACACUCGUGCGGCAGGAACGUAAGUGAGAACCUCACUUCUUCUCAUAGACGACAAAUUAUUCUCGGAAGACUAGAAGCAUGAUAUUUCAGACCUACACUACCGGUAACACGAAUGAUAGUUUUGACAAUGAACUACUCUUGUAAGAUUCGAUUAAGUUCUAUACACGAAGGGGGAACUACUUGAUAAUAUGUAUGAAGUCGUCCUUUUUGCACAAAUUAGAUGGUACUUGCAUUUACCUACUAUCGUCCUACAAUUUUGAAGUAUAUACAACAACGAGUAGCCUAUAUUGAUAUUGUACUACCAGAGUCAAAUAAAAAGUCUCAAGCUUUGGAUAUAAUCAGUAGUACUCUCACUCUAAACAUUUAAGGUGGAACUUAGUCACUUGUGAAAGGGAAACGACAUGUUAAAAAAACAAGAAUACUACCAUGGUACGAACGAUUAAUAUUCUCCAUGUUUAUUUGAUAAGGAAACAAACAGAUCUUUAUCAAAAAGAUGAAAGAUACGUAACUUCUCUAUCGUUUAGGGAACGAUGUACAUGAUCCCGCUACGGGUCCAAGUGGUUUCCCAGAAAAGUACGUACUUUUUCUCUCAUAUAUAGAAGAUCGAUAAUAGUCCAACAUCCACAUGUGUACCAAUAACUCAUGGUACUGUAUUAGUAGGUAUCAAAGCACUUUAAACUUAAGGGUAGAGAAAUAGCAUAAUAAGUAAAACGUGAGCCGAAAGUAUCUUCUAUUUCCAAACAAAACAAAACAAGUAUGCUGGACAAAACCGAAAACUCUAGUCAACUUUCGAGAACUAUAAAACUUCAAAUAUGACGUGAAGUGUGUUUUUAUAGACCCGUAUACAAAGAAAUAAGUCGCUUCACUUGUGGAUAUGAGUCUACGAAAAAGGUGCCCGUAAGUGGCAAAUGAACUAAUGACUACCUUCCUAGAGGCACGGUUAACGACAACCCUUGGUAAACGGAGAUGUGGCUAUUGGGAGUACAACAUAAUAUGGUACUCGAUGGUACUGCAGGAGGUGGCUGGCGAUAAACUUGGAGUCGCGUAAGAAGACAUUUUCACUGAGCGUAGUUCAGAAAACGCGAAAGGAGAACUGAAAGAUUUACGCCUAGUAUAAUACACAAUAACGAAAGAAAUUCUAUAUAGUGACCGGUACCUAAAGGAAAAUAGGCAGUGGUGGAAGUAUGGAAAGAUAGGACCUUAAAUAUACCACAUGACUCGAUAUACCCUAACCACAAAUAACCCAACCGUGCACCGUACGUUGAUUUGAAUUAACAUGGCCUGGUAAUAACAAUAUAUUCAUAGAUAUGGAGAAAACCAAUUCCAGGGUAGUUUUGACUCCGUAAUAUCUACGGAUUUAAAAAACCCCAGCCAAGUACCUACCACGAAAACGAUACAAGAUAAAAUAUACGUUAUGAGUUCAAAGAAACAAUGGUUCAACCUAUACCGGCGUGGACCGUCCCCACGCCACCACGCCGUUCGGCGUGAAAGGUAGAUCACUCCCUAUUACCUGGAACAUACGUCUAAAAACCCUGAGCUAAACAACUUAUAUGUUCGUUUUCCGGGCACGCGACGUUGUUCUCUUUUGUGUAUUAGAGUACGUAGUGACUCUAUGUGAUAGUGAAAGUUAAAACACCUUGGUACUUGUAAAAAAUUUGAGAACUUGUAUAAACUUUAACACUUGUACAAGUUUAAGCA